rnacentral:rRNA from 1 species
AUUGAACGCUGGCGGCAGGCUUAACACAUGCAAGUCGAGCGGGGUGAUGGUGCUUGCACUAUCACUUAGCGGCGGACGGGUGAGUAAUGCUUAGGAAUCUGCCUAUUAGUGGGGGACAACAUUUCGAAAGGAAUGCUAAUACCGCAUACGUCCUACGGGAGAAAGCAGGGGAUCUUCGGACCUUGCGCUAAUAGAUGAGCCUAAGUCGGAUUAGCCAGUUGGUGGGGUAAAGGCCUACCAAGGCGACGAUCUGUAGCGGGUCUGAGAGGAUGAUCCGCCACACUGGGACUGAGACACGGCCCAGACUCCUACGGGAGGCAGCAGUGGGGAAUAUUGGACAAUGGGCGGAAGCCUGAUCCAGCCAUGCCGCGUGUGUGAAGAAGGCCUUAUGGUUGUAAAGCACUUUAAGCGAGGAGGAGGCUACUCUAGUUAAUACCUAGAGAUAGUGGACGUUACUCGCAGAAUAAGCACCGGCUAACUCUGUGCCAGCAGCCGCCGUAACAC